AUUAGACGAAAGAUCAUCUGUCAUGAAACAUGAACUAUUUGCAAGGAAAACAAUUAAGCUCCAACAUUAUGAAUAAUUAUUGAAAUUACGAGGACAAGGGAGGACAAGCCUUUGUGUGCGCUAGACGCAUCAUCAUCACUAUGCGAUACAGGCUAAAUUUACUCAUUCUUGCUCUCUAUGAUAACAAAAACCUCUUUUAAUAAUUUCCAAAGGAU
rnacentral:misc_RNA from 1 species